ensembl:lncRNA
UGAGUCUGAUGACCAGGCUACAGUGUGCAAUUCCCCAAGUCAACUCUUACAAAAGCGCUAUUCCCCGCACGCAGAGUAAAAACACGGUUAUUUUUGGAGUAGGGGGUACGUUCUCUGUUGAUUCUGUGUAGAGAGGUAGCAAGAAGAAAAACCAAGAGGGAUUCGCUCUUAAUGAAUGAAAAUACGGAUCGGCGCUGUACACGCAGCCAGAGUAAAGUGGCUGAGAUCGAAGGGAAGAAAAUAAGAAAUAAGUGGGGAUAGCACAAAACAAGGAAAAGCAAAGGGGGCACGCGAACCGGAGACGAAGCAAAACCGCUGCAACUGACGAUCAACGGAUUACAACAUUAUUCCCGUUGUUGGCGAGUAAACUAUUUUCUAGAGGGAAUUGAUGGUGUCUUUACAGAGCAGAACAGACUUUGCCGAGGUGAUUUUGAAUGCACUCGGCUGAAUCAUGCUGAGGUUGUGGAUAAUAACUUUGGCUAUCAGUUUUAACAAAGAGUCCGAUCCCAUCAACAUCUGCAGAGGUAUCAACAUCAAGCUCAGCACCAGCAACUAGUGUAAGUCACCUUACUAAAAUCGACAAGAUUUUUCCAUGAUGAGAAAACAAAUGUACUGGAGCUAGGCAUAAACAUGGUCUGUGUCUUGUUGCAAUAGAUGGUGUGUUUACAAGUAGGCUACAACUCAAGUCCUACUGUAGUUCUCUGUAUUAUGGAGUCUUAGUUGCAUGAACAAUCAAGGCUUGAAGUCUAAAUUGGAGAACAUUAGGUACUGGUUAGGAGGGGAUGGUGUGGGUGGGUGACUGACUGGUGUCUGUUAGGGUGGGUAUUGUGUGUGUGAAGGUUAGUAUGCAUGAUCUAUUGACUUGAGGGGGGUGGGUGGAUAUAGUACCUUGUUUGAGUGUGUAUUGAUGGGGACAAAGUAGUAAAAUGUUAGCUAAUCACUGACUGCAGUGUCCUACAGACUAAUCCUGCUGCUGCUGACCUUGACACUAGCGUUGGUAGUACAGAGCCUGUAGACUCAUUGGAUGAAAGCUUUCAGCCUGGAAUAAACUCAAAAUCAUCUGACUUUGAAACAAGCCAGGACAGCAAAAGGAGACUUGUAGUACUAACAAAUAAUCUGCAAGAGGUCGAAGCAUUGGGUGGUGAAGAAAGUGUACGAGAGGCUUGUCCACCUGGCUGUGGAGUGCAGAAAGGACCUGACGGUUGUCUACAAGGAGCCAGACUCAGAGUGCCCCAAACCCAAUAUCACUGCCAACAGCGCCAAAGCCUGCUAAACCAGCUGCCAUUACUCAACACAAGAAAAGGUUCACCCUCUGAAGAGCAUUCCGGAACCUGCCUGGAACAUUCAACCAACACAACAUCCAUAUUUUUGUAGUAUAAUAUAGAAUGCCUAGUAUGCUCACAAUGACAUUGUGGUAUAGAUAUUGCUAGCUGUUGUACAUACAGCAUAUAUAAGUAUACUGUCAAGUGGGUAAAUUAUUCCAGCUGCAUUAGAAAAGUGUUGACUUCAACUUCUGGAUCAAUUCAUUGUGAUAUUCAUGAAAUGUAUUUGGAUAAACUAGCUUCUGUCUUACUGCACAAAACAAUGAUGCAGGGAGUUGGUGUAUCAUUUAAACUUUAAUUUGUUGGCAAGUUAAACAUGUUUCAAUAAAACAGUAUAUUAGUCUUUCAAUAGAAAGUAGAUUGACAGUAGAUUAGUCUGCUAAGUGACAAAUGUAAAAAAAAAAAAGAUAUAUAGUAAAUAAGGGACAUUGGCUUGUAUUCAAGACAAAGUUUAUUUGCUUUGGAGACCGAGGUGAGUGUACUCAGCAGUAUGCAGGAACAGUUAUGGCAAUUUAUAUACAGUAGAAUAAAAAUAUACUACUAACGCUUAUAAUAAAUACCCUGAAACGCUUAUGUACAAGCCCUUAACCAACAGUGCAGGUCAAGAAGAGUUAAGAAAAUAUUUACCAAAUAA